CCCCUCUCAGGGUUGCACCUGGAGAGUUUCCAGGCCUCUACCAAUCUCAGCUAUUGGAGGAAGAGUCAAGCAGAGGCCUAUCCAUUCCAUUCCUAGCUUGAGCAUUGGCUAGCGAGUGGCAGACCAUCUGCUACAAGU
rnacentral:snoRNA from 1 species